AUACCUUUCUCGGUCUUCUAGCUAAGAUCAAGUGUAGUAUCUGUUCUUGUCAAUUUAAUAUUUGAUACGUGAGUCAUCGACCUAUUAUGAUGUUAAAUUAAUUUCUUGUAGGGGGAGGGUUUACUAUAGUGGCUUGCCAUUAGGACCCUCACUUGUCGCCCAUGCGUUACACUGCAGCACGGGCCUGGCGCGCCCCAA